GAAAUGCGAUAAGUAAUGUGAAUUGCAGAAUUCAGUGAAUCAUCGAAUCUUUGAACGCACCUUGCGCUCCUUGGUAUUCCUUGGAGCAUGCCUGUUUGAGUAUCAUGAAAUCUUCAAAGUAAAUCUUUUGUUAACUCAAUUGGUUUCUACUUUGGUAUUGGAGGUCUUUGCAGCUUCACACCUGCUCCUCUUUGUUCAUUAGCUGGAUCUCAGUGUUAUGCUUGGUUCCACUCGGCGUGAUAAGUUAUCUAUCGCUGAGGACACUGUAAAAGGUGGCCAAGGUAAAUGCAGAUAAACCGCUUCUAAUAGUCCAUUGACUUGGACAAUACUUUUAUGAUCUGAUCUCAAAUCAGGUAGGACUACCCGCUGAACUUAAGC
rnacentral:misc_RNA from 1 species